CCUACGGGUGGCAGCAGUGAGGAAUAUUGGUCAAUGGGAGAGAUCCUGAACCAGCCAAGCCGCGUGAGGGAAGACGGCCCUAUGGGUUGUAAACCUCUUUUGUCGGAGAACAAAACCCGGGACGUGUCCCGGACUGCGUGUAUCCGAAGAAAAAGCAUCGGCUAACUCCGUGCCAGCAGCCGCGGUAAUACGGAGGAUGCGAGCGUUAUCCGGAUUUAUUGGGUUUAAAGGGUGCGUAGGCGGUCCGUUAAGUCAGCGGUAAAAUUGCGGGGCUCAACCCCGUCGAGCCGUUGAAACUGGCAGACUUGAGUUGGCGAGAAGUACGCGGAAUGCGCGGUGUAGCGGUGAAAUGCUUAGAUAUGACGAAGAACCCCGAUUGCGAAGGCAGCUUGCUGCAGCGGAACUGACGCUGAUGCUCGAAAGCGCGGGUAUCGAACAGGAUUAGAUACCCUGGUAGUC
rnacentral:rRNA from 1 species